CCCGGCGACCGGCGCACGGGUGAGUAACACGUAUGCAACCUGCCCCUGUCAGGGGGACAACCCGCCGAAAGGCGGGCUAAACCCGCGUACAUGCCACCGGGGCAUCCCGGAGGCAGGAAAGGCUUCGGCCGGACAGGGAUGGGCAUGCGGCGCAUUAGGCAGUAGGCGGGGUAACGGCCCACCUAACCGACGAUGCGUAGGGGUUCUGAGAGGAAGGUCCCCCACACUGGUACUGAGACACGGACCAGACUCCUACGGAAGGCAGCAG
rnacentral:rRNA from 1 species